AACUAAAGGAGGGGAGAAUUAAUGGACCCGCGGGAGCCAACGCCAAAAUGGACUCGCCAAUCUAGGGCCUAUAUGAUCAAAUUUAGUUAACUUAUGAAAUGGGUUUGGCCUAGGAUACGGCCUAGGAGCGGGAGGUGCGGCCUAGGAACUCCUAAGUGCAAGCAAUGGCCGACCUCCAGCAGCACCGCAGACGCCAGCCCAGGAAUUAUCGCCCCCAGAAAGAUGCUCUUGAAGAAUACGACGACGACGAACUCAUCAGAAGGUUUCGCCUGGACCGUGCGGGAAUUCUUUUUGUCACCGAUAUGGUGCGAGACGUCCUGCAGAGCCCCACGAGGAGGAGCCAUGCCCUCACGCCAGAGAUGAGUCUUGAUUCUCCUCAGGUAUUUGGCAACAGGCAAAAUGCAACUCUGCAGCAGUGAAGAGCUGGGACCAUCACAGCAGACAGUAAGCAGAGUUAUCUCUGAAACACUGGCAGCCUUCAACACGCCACACAUCAUGAGAAGAUAUCUUACAUUCCCAACAGAGAAUGAAGUGCUGCAACAGAACAAAGCAGAAUUUAUGGAAAUUGCAAACUUUCCGGGUUUGGUGGGUGUGAUAGACUGCACUCACAUAAGAAUAGCUGCACCAAAAGAGUUUCCAGACGAGUAUAUCAACCGGAAGGGAUAUCACCGCAUCAAUGUACAGAUUGUCUUCAAUGCAAGAUGUGAAGUGAUCAGCUGUUUGGCUAAGUGGCCAGGAUCCGUACGUGAUUCAGGGAUCCUCAGUGAAAGUGGGCUUAAGCAGUGUUUUGACGCUGGUAUAAUCCCACAUGGAUGCUCACUGCUAGGAGACCAUGGGUAUCCCUGUAAACCUUGGCUGCUGACACCUUAUCUUAAUCCCCAGCCAGGACCACAAGCAAAUUACAAUAUAGCACACUCAAAGACCAGGAAUGUUGUGGAGAGGGGAAUUGACCAGCUGAAACGAAGAUUUCCAGUUCUCCACACUGAAAUAAGGGUCAGUCCACCACUGAAGGUGUGCCAGAUUGUCUAUGUAUGUGCAGUGCUGCACAACAUUUGCAUGAGGCGCAAUGUUCCUCUUGAUGAUGAGCAUCUGGAUAAUCAAAAUGCUGCCCCAGAUCAUGAUGUUGGGGCAAUAGCACCAACAGCUUGGCGACAAGACAAUGGACGAACCUUCAGGGACCACUUUGCUGCAACUCACUUCAGACUGCAGUAAUGUUCAAAAGACAUUGAAGACAGAGCUUCCAGGUCGUCCCAGAACACUGAUGCUUGGGCUCUUCUAGCGUUGCCCUCCCGGCAGCAACAAGGCCAGCACCAUGGGACUUCUCGGGUGAUGGCCCCAACACAAUGCAGGUGUCAUCAGAGCUGUGACAGAAAGAGAUAAAAAUGUUGAGUGUCUUAUUAUGGCUAUCUGUGAUGUGUUAGUUAAUAGAUUCUGCACCUUUCUUGUCACAAAUUUUGCUAGUCCCUCUUACCACUAUUUGGUACUUGUCUGAAUGUAAGGAAAAACUCUGACCCUACACUGAGUGCUGGAAAUCUCGCAUGCCUGCAAUGCUCAUCGAUUGAAAGAUGUCCACUUUUCCUUAUUCUUACUCUAGCUUUCUUAUUUGCACCCCUCACUCCACCUCCUCCUCCUUUUCUUCACCUUUGCCACUCUGCCACAUCAGUCCCAACUCAUCUCUCUCUUUGUCUCAUGUCAUUCAUUAACUUUUGAAUGCAUUUCAGAAUAUCUGUAUAGAUUUUAUUCUCUUAAGAUGAUAAUAGUGGUAUGCAUACUACAACACACAACAAUGAAGAUCUACAGUUGCACCCUUAAGAGGAGUUGCUUGAACAGCCAUAACCACCAACGUUAGCAGAAUGACAUACAGCAGCAGAGAGAGGAAUGAUGAGGGAGAGAGAGAGAGAGAGAGAGAGGUCAGGUAGAUUAUAGUAACUAUGAUAUGUGUCACUCCCCUUUUUUUCAGUGUGCACCAGUCUCCCCCAAUCCUUUGAUGGUUGUCCAGCAAAUGUUCUGUUAUCCAUCCCGAGCACUAGCAGGCUUUGCUUUGACUGCUUUUGACUGUGCUUUGAGUGGGUGUCAGGGGUGUUGGUGGCCCGCCUCCUGGAAUUAAAUCAUUUAUGUAUUAGGGUGUGUGAUGUUACAUUACUAACAGUGGUCACACCUAAGCUAACACAAUCUGACAAAUUUCCUGCCGACAAAAUGCAGGGUGUUGUGUAACUUACUGUGAUUCCAGUUAUGUAUUAUUAUUCCAGGGUAUGAUUGGUAUUAUCAACAUGGGAAUAUCUCAUCCUUUACUCAACCAAUUGCUCUUCUGUUGUCAUACAUUUAUUAAACUAACAUCUCAGACCUCACAGAAAAUUGUAGGAAAGAGUGUAAAGAUCAAAGCAAGUUUAGAAAUAGCCAUGAAAUGUGUGUGGGAGACUGCAUGGCCACAGGCAGCCCAUGCAACAAUGUGUGGAAGCAUUCUUAUUGGGUUUUUAUUGUGGUGAGUUGUGAGUUGUGCCUGCCACAGGAUGCUGUGGGUUAUUAAGCCACCUAAGGACGUGCAGGUUCCCACAAACAUAUCAUGUGUUUGUAUUUGUUUGAUCUUUUCACUGUUUCCCAGGGAUUCCCAGGAGGUUUGAAGGUAAUAGAAUUCAUGUAUGACUUGUGAAAAGAUUAAGUUGGGUAAGUAGGAGGAAAUCUGCACGUUAAUAAUACCAAACUAUUUAUGCAUCUCUGGGCCAUCACCGCGGGUGUCCUGACGUACUAAAAGCUACUAAAAUGAAAAAACAUAUAGGUGCUACAAGGACUCUAACUGCUAAUAUGAACUUCAAGCGUGGGAUUUUCUAGCACAGCAGGCUCACCUGGUUGGCCCAUCCAUUUAACAGCACGACAAGAAUAUACAGUGGAAAAGGUCAGAUGGGCAAAAAAACUGCUGGCAGCCUGCAAGUUGAUAUCCGGGAAAGCUGCAAUGGUGGCUAUACGGACUGGAAGGGUGUGCCAUGAGCAGUGUUCAGGACUUGUGUUCAGUCUUGAAAAUUAUAUAGCACAUCAGAUAAGUGAGUGUGGAAACUAUACGUAUCAAAGUUUGUUCCUACUUAUACUUUGUCCGGGUAAUAGUGGUACAGUAGUGGCAGGUUGGGGAGCGCGUGGUGAGGUGAGGCACAGUCACUGGUCCUUUGAUUAUAUUAUUCCUGGGCUGCCUCCUCGACCUUGAAAUAUAUAGAAGUCAAUGCAUGGAUGUAGUGUGUUUCACUCUACAUUUUCCCAGCAGGUUCGAUGGCACCCCGGCACCAAGUGGUCAUUGCCGCGCUGUCUGUUCAGUGCCUGUCACAGGUUAUGCAGGAUGGCCAGUGGUGCCCUUGUUCUGUGGCAACUGCAGGUGGUGUGUGGAACUGUGUGAAGAGACAAAAAAUGAAGUCCAUGAUAGUGAGGGCAAAAUUUACUGAUGUAGCCUACCAAGGUGUGGCUCAGCGACAGGCUGCAGAGUUCAGGUAAAUGGUAAAAAAUGUGUCAAAUUUUGCACAAAAAGCAGUGCCCUUCAUGGAUCAGUUAAGAGCCCAUUUUUAAGUUGAUCUGUUACAUAGAAAUAGAUUUAAAUGUGGCAUGAAUAUACAUGAUGUACUGGGUCUGCUGAAGAUAAAAAAAUUGGUUUAUCAAUUAGAUGAACCAUGAUCCCGGGGUAUUGAAUGGGGAACUUGGACUAUAUAAUUGCUCCAAUAAAUGGCCAAUUGAUCUGUAAUAGACAAUAGCAGCAUGAUGAAUGGUGGUAAGUCCCAUGACAAUUACACAUUAGGUAAAUCUAGAAUUUAGAUCAUCCCAACGGUGAAGAGAAUCAGGCUUGCUUGAGUGUUCCGGCUUUAACCCAGAAACGAUUGCAUUAUUACUAGUAACUGGCCUAAUAAAUUGUUUCUUUAAAAUCCUACAUAGAAUUGAUGAAGAAAGUAGCAAGUUUCAUAUUUUAUUUGGCAUUGGCCAAGCCUCACCUUGAUGUUUCAUUUCAAUGAGGGACGUUUUUAACUGAAUUUUGUCCGGGGUCACAACUGUACCCAGUCCCUUGGCGGGAAGGAGACGGAAAUCCAACACCCCUCAUUUUCUUCUCUGCAAGGGCUGAGGAAAAUUACUACAAUAUUUCAAUAAAAUUCAAAUAAUUUUGUAUGAAAAUAUAAAUAUAGAUCCAAAAUUAUAGCAGAGAAGAAAUCCUUGCUGAAGCCUGAUUUUACCAUUAUCAGCUUGAUAAGAGGGUGUCAAGAAGCAAUUGGAGUUGCAAAGGUUUCCCUACAAUGGCUUGAUUUUUUUUUUUUUUAUUAUGCAAAAAAAUAAAGCAAUUAAGGUGACCAACAGUUUCUUAUUUGCUAUAUUUUCAUUUGUAUUUUACUGAAAUAUUGUAGCAUGUGCCCAACCCCUCAGCCAUUUUAAAGAGGGACAUGAGAGGUGUUGUAU